CACGUAGGGCGCAAGCGUUGUCCGGAAUUAUUGGGCGUAAAGAGCGCGCAGGCGGUCGAUCAAGUCGAGUGUGAAAGCCCCCGGCUCAACUGGGGAGGGUCAUUCGAUACUGAUCGACUCGAAGGCAGGAGAGGGUAGUGGAAUUCCCGGUGUAGUGGUGAAAUGCGUAGAUAUCGGGAGGAACACCAGUGGCGAAGGCGACUACCUGGCCUGUUCUUGACGCUGAGGCGCGAAAGCUAGGGGAGCAAACGGG
rnacentral:rRNA from 1 species